rnacentral:lncRNA from 1 species
GGAAGAUGUGGGUACACUGAUUACCCUCAGGGCUUGGAUCCAUGGUGCAAUUUAUGCAAAUGCAAACCUGGUUUAAAAGGUUCCUGUCCUGCCUGUUAGCCCUUUCCCCACCCUCAUCGUUCCUUCCCACCCCAGUGUGCUUUAUGUAGCUCUUCCUUGGAUCACGCUCCAACUCAGAAGAGUGAUGUGGUUCAGGUUAAACCCAAACUGGGAAGUUUAAGGUGAUAUUUUAAGAUCUUUUUUUGAAAGUGUGCUUAGACCAAAGAGGCUCUGCUCUGAAUCUGUGGGCAAAGCUGGAAUGACAAGCAGGCAAUGUCCAACCUGCUCUGCACAUGUCUCCACAUACCAAGGGAAAAGAUGCUUUAACUGCAUUUUCAGUGCUGCCCUGUUUGAAUGGAAGACAAAGCAGUGUGAGAGCAGAGGUGCUUCUCGUGCUGCAGCUUCCCUGUCAUUAAUUGCCUCGUUCAUGAGCCCUCCAUGAGUGUCACUUUGUUGAGCUGCCAAGGUAUGUAGGAUAUAACGCAUCUAGCUUGUUUUCUUUUCCUACCCUCCUGGCCCUGAGCCAAAGAAAUGCCUUCACCUCAUCACCUGCAGCUCUCCCUCCUAAUAUCUCUCACUUUAAAUUAAAUCUCACAUUUUAUUUCUCAGACAUGGCAGGAAUUUUACAGCACUAGCACUUUGGAGAGAUGGCUUUGACAUUGCUCGGCAAGGACUUGUCCCUCCAGAUGUCAGUGGUCUCUUCGAUUCCUUUCUGCUGCAUGUGCAUAGGUGGGAAAACUGAUUCCCUACAGGCUUUACAGGGAUAAAUAUUGGGCUAGAAGAAAAUAUUUAGUAACAGCUGAACUGGCAAGCCUAACUGGUGUCCAGGUCCACGGCUGAGAAGAGCUAUGUUUUUGCUAUACAAUUCCAGCACGAUUUGACAAACACUAUUUAAAGAACUACAUUAAAAGGGUGAAGCUUGGCGUAUUUGCUCAGGGCCAGGAAGUUGCAAUGGGGCAAUUGAGCAAAGCUCACAAGGACUCAUGUCUCCUGCUAGACCCAGGUUGAGUGGUACCAGACCUACACAGAGACCAGAAUUGAGACAUCCCACAGCUUGUCGAUAAUUAAUGCAAUCAAAGAGAGAACCCCAUCAGCAGCGUGCUCAGAGCCAGCACGUUCUGGUGGUGGUGGCUUUGGUGAUGGUGCUCCAGCUGCACAGCAUGGACUGGCUGCUAAGGGGAUGUCUGCUGUGGUAGCAGGGACCAUGCCCUACAUCAACCUCAGGGCACUUUUCUCUGAUUCCAGGGCUGCUGUGGUGCCAUAGUUCAGCAUUUCUCUUGUGUGUGCACUCUGAAAUUUUAUUUUCCUCCUUGAUUGUCCAGGCAAAGGGCUUGCAGUGAUCUGGAGAGUGUACUACUGGUUGCUGUGCUC